UGGGGAAUAUUGCACAAUGGGCGCAAGCCUGAUGCAGCCAUGCCGCGUGUGUGAAGAAGGCCUUCGGGUUGUAAAGCACUUUCAGUCGUGAGGAAGGUGGUAGUGUUAAUAGCACUAUCAUUUGACGUUAGCGACAGAAGAAGCACCGGCUAACUCCGUG
rnacentral:rRNA from 1 species